GCCCGUUGUUACAGGGCGUCUGUCCCGCCGAGCAACGUCCAGGUAUGUUCACAGCGUUGUGAGUUGUAUAACUCGUAAAGAUUUCGUAGAGGGGGUCUGCGGAGGGAUCAUUACCGAGUUAUACAACUCAUCAACCCUGUGAACAUACCUAAAACGUUGCUUCGGCGGGAACAGACGGCCCUGUAACAACGGGCCGCCCCCGCCAGAGGACCCCUAACUCUGUUUUUAUAAUGUUUUUCUGAGUAAACAAGCAAAUAAAUUAAAACUUUCAACAACGGAUCUCUUGGCUCUGGCAUCGAUGAAGAACGCAGCGAAAUGCGAUAAGUAAUGUGAAUUGCAGAAUUCAGUGAAUCAUCGAAUCUUUGAACGCACAUUGCGCCCGCCAGUAUUCUGGCGGGCAUGCCUGUUCGAGCGUCAUUACAACCCUCAGGCCCCCGGGCCUGGCGUUGGGGAUCGGCAGAAGCCCCCUGUGGGCACACGCCGUCCCUCAAAUACAGUGGCGGUCCCGCCGCAGCUUCCAUUGCGUAGUAGCUAACACCUCGCAACUGGAGAGCGGCGCGGCCAUGCCGUAAAACACCCAACUUCUGAAUGUGACCUCGA
rnacentral:rRNA from 1 species